GAUCAAAGUGUAGUAUCUGUUCUUAUCAGCUUAAUAUCUGAUACGUCCCUCAUUGAGGGACCAGAAUAUUAAACUGAUUUUUGGAACUAGGCGGAGUGUUCGGGGCUUGCUCCACCUCUGCCACGGGUUGGC
rnacentral:snRNA from 1 species